rnacentral:tRNA from 1 species
UUAAUUGAAGCCAAAAUCAGAGGCAUAUUAUUGUUAAUAAUAAAAAUGAAUUUAAUUCCAAUUAAA